rnacentral:rRNA from 1 species
GAUGAACGCUGGCGGCGUGCCUAAUACAUGCAAGUCGAGCGAACAGACGAGGAGCUUGCUCCUCUGACGUUAGCGGCGGACGGGUGAGUAACACGUGGAUAACCUACCUAUAAGACUGGGAUAACUUCGGGAAACCGGAGCUAAUACCGGAUAAUAUAUUGAACCGCAUGGUUCAAUAGUGAAAGACGGUUUUGCUGUCACUUAUAGAUGGAUCCGCGCCGCAUUAGCUAGUUGGUAAGGUAACGGCUUACCAAGGCAACGAUGCGUAGCCGACCUGAGAGGGUGAUCGGCCACACUGGACCUGAGACCCGGUCCAGACCCCUACGGGAGGCAGCAGUAGGGAAUCUUCCGCAAUGGGCGAAAGCCUGACGGAGCAACGCCGCGUGAGUGAUGAAGGUCUUCGGUUCGUAAAACUCUGUUAUGAGGGAAGAACAAAUGUGUAAGUAACUAUGCACGUCUUGCCGGUACCUAAUCAGAAAGCCACGGCUAACUACGU